GCAGAGAGUGGUCGGGAACUGAACGGGCUCCCCCGGGCAGUGGUCACGGAACCCAGCCUGCCAGAGCCCCAGGAGCAUUUGGACAACGCGGGCGCUGGGUGGGAUCGCUGCGGUGUCUGUGCAGGGCCAGGAGUUGGGCUGGAUGAUCCUUGUGGGUCCCUUUCAGUUCAGGACUUUCUGUGAUUCUGGAAUAACUGUGUCCCGCUCAGGUUUGGACACAGCACUUGUUUGCCUCUGGAGUGCACCUGACCCACCAGCUCAGGUCUCUGCACCAGCUUAAGACUCAGAGAUGCUUUCUAUUUUUUAAACUUCCUUCAUUAUUUGGGUCUCUUGUUUUCCCACUCCUUAACUUCAAAUGUGUGAGUCCUUUGUGUUUCCUCCCAGCAGGCAGCUAGGGGUUUAAGGAAAAGUGUUGGAUUGUCCUAGGCUUUAUAGGAUUACAGGAUCCCAGGCAGGAUUACAUCCACGAUCAUCAAAUAAAUGUAAAUUAAUGAAACACCUGAAUUCAGAAGAAAUUGACCGGGCCAUGCAUAGAAAAACUGUAGGCUGCAUUAAAAAGCUGAGUCCACAGCUAUAACUCCUGGGAUUUCUGUCUCUUUUAAGUACACAGGUGCUUAAAGGGAUACAGGAUAGAUGUGAGGAUGCACUUUGUCAUGGUGUAUUAUAUAGGUCUUUUCUCACCAAAAUCACAAAGUGUGCAAAGAAUUAUCUUAGACAGGUGGCUGAGGAAGGCAUUACCUAUAUUAUAUGUUCUGUCUCUUCAAAUUUAUAUCCAGAGUUGUCUCUUUGCUAAGUCUGCUUUUUUCUCCUAAUCAUUUCCUGAGGCUUACAGGUGUGUAUCCUCCAGGAUGUGCUGUGAAGAUUUCAGCAAAAGAGGGAGCUUGGCUCAACCACUAGAGAAGCCCUGCAGCCCACAUCCAGGCAAUCCUGAACCCGUGAGACCCGUGUGGAGUCUCCCAGGCAGGAAAACUCCCCUCAGAAGUGGCACACUGAGAACUCUUCCCUGGCCAGCCACAGAAUCAUCCUUGUGCCUGCUGCUGCCUUCUGAUUCAAUUACUCCUUUCAUUCGUUUGUGUGGGUGCUUUUUUUCAGCAGAGUGGAUCAGCUCCGGCAGCUGAGAUUCCCAUUCCACAUCACUGCAUUUACAGUCAGAUGCAAGGAAAGGGAUGCUUCAAAUUCCCAAGAGCUGACUCUGGAUCAUGUCUCUCUUAGUUUGUUGUCAGACCUCUGGGACAUUAUAUAAAUAGCUAGUGCAUCUUCCCACUGCAUUUUCUAAGUUCCUAGCAGUUGGCAGCGGGUUGGUUGGUCAUCCUGACUGGAAAACUGCUCCUCUUCUAUCCAGAAAAGGGCAACUUAUUGUUUGAGGUGGACUUAACUUCUCCCCCUGUCCUUGGCACCUCCAGCAGCUGCAGAGGCAGUUUUCUGUUUGAUUUCGUGAAUCAUAUCUUGAGAUGCCUUGCUUUCUCUGCCUGCUGCACAGAGUUUGAGUGCCUGAACACAUCUGGAGCCCAGCAGAGUGUGAGCAGGAGAGAGCUUGUCCCGUGCUGUGAGUAUCCCACAUGGAUUGGGCUGCACUGUCUCUUAGCCCACCAAACUCUGGGCUGCAGCAGCUGAGUAUGCCCCUUCCCCUUCAAGGACAUACUUCCUUGAUGUGUAUACAUAUAUAUAUAUAUCCUUGGUAUGUCCCUUCCCUGCAAAGAGGCCCAGCAGCGCCAAGAGCAGGCCCCUGUACCCUGAAGUGCUCCUGCUUCCUGCAGUGCCUUGUGCUAUGUCAGGCUGAGAGGGAGUUGGGACAUGAACCUCCCACUCCGACAUCCUCCUCGUAAACAUCCCGUCCCACUCAAGUCCUGUGCUGUCACAUCCUCUGUGCUCUGCCCAGACGCUAUUCUGGGUUUAGUUCUAUAUGCAGAGCACACAGCUGGGCAUGCCAAAAUCCAGGCAGGCAGCAGGACAGAACCGUAACUUGGUUCAGCUGCUGACAUAUUACAAGUACUGCAGAGGAGGAGAGUUGUUUAAAGGUCUUCUCAAAACUAAAAUCAUCUGCUUGAGCCCUCCUUGGAAAGCCAGUUUGCUCCCCUAGGCGUGUUCAGCAGCUGUACCUUACUCCAAGAGAUGCAAACCUGUGCACAUGGCAUGAAAAACCUUGGUAAUAAUGGAAGGGAGCAGAACAGGGAGCUUGGAAAGUGCAGCACAGUAAGUUUACACAAGCAGCACGUACAACACCCAUCCCCGGUGAGUCAGUCCUGGCCGUUUCCUUCAUUUCCUCCAAGGCUCGCUGUGAACAUCCAGCGGUAGCGGCCCUUCUGAAAUCCAGUCAUCUCCUUUCCUGCCUCUUGUUUACAGCUUCCCUUUAGCAGGGAGCAGAGUCCCAGCCUCCAGCACUACAUUUUCACUGCAGCAGGCUGAGAGAAGUGCAGACCCUCCCCUGGCCUCAGCUCAGCUUUGGUACCGCAGUGCUCUUGUUGCUUUUAUGGGUGCCUGCACCUUGAGCUACAGCAGGUGCUGAGCUAAAUCCUUGUGCAAAUCUGAAGCAGAGCCUUCAUGCUGCAGUAAAUUGUUGCCCAGCCCAUGAUACCUUUCACAUCCAUUUGCAGGUAGGCCACUUACCCUGUGGUCAUUUCUUCAGGCUUUCUGCUCCAGCUGUGAACUCUAGAAAUAAAUUACUGUGGGAAAGGUGGAAUAUGGACAAAGUCACACCACUGCAGUUUGUCUUCUGGAAGGGAUGUGUGGAAUAGAAAGAGUGAAGCUGUAAGACCAGAGAAGACAGGCACCCAGAGGGAAAAAAGGUACUGGUGACAAAUUCCCCUGCAAGCUCAGACAUUAAUCCUUGGGAAAAGUGAGUGUCAGGAGCCUGGUUAUGGAGCCAUGGGGCCAUUUAUGGACAGCCUUUGCUGGAGGCUCCUGUUUGAUGGCAUGGAUUGCAUGGUGGCAUUACCAACUUGAGGAAUGCUGAGAUGUUUGUUACCACCUGCCCAAAACUGCAAUUUUCCCUCAUUUGUGCCAGCCUUGCUGUUUGUGGAGCUGUGCUGAGCACUGGGUCAGGGAAGCAAUCCAAUUUAAAAAUAACCCAGUGGCGUGGCUGGGGGUGGCAAGAGCUUUAGCCCUCCAGGAUAAUCUGCAGUCACAAAUCAGCAAGAGCAGCUUGCCAUUUCAGAUGCCAUGAAAGCCCAGCCUCAGAGAUACCUAUUUAAUGCAAGGAAUAUGAACCUUUCAGCCAGAGAAGGAGCCUGGGGAAUGAGGAGGCAGGUAUCUUUUGCCCAUGUUCAUAAGGGACACAAGAGCAAACCUCACUGUGCCCAGCUGGUAGCACAUCUUCACACAGGCUUUGCUUCAGCAGUCCUUCACACGAUGCUUUUGGAACAAAAGUUAGUGGCAGUGUGUGCCAUUCCACUGGUGGAUGUUCUUUAUUCUGUGGAUUAGGAAGAAAGUGACAUGGAUUUUUAAGGGUACUGCAAAUAUGGGGGCUGUGCUAUCACCAAGAAAGGGAAUAAAAGAGCCUUCUUCACAAACAGCUUCAUGGUUCAGAGUGAAGCAACAAUUUGUGGAUGCAUUCCAGAAGAGGAUGUAUUCCUCUUCUCCGCUCUAGAGAAACAAUGCCACUGCUGUGAUGCACCAGCACUAACAUUCAUGAUCACACCAGCAGUGACAUCACUGUCACCUACUGACAGACUUGGAGGAAGCAUCUGUAGUUAAGUCAUUCUCUCUUGUAUUCCAAGCCAUGUCUGGUUUUCUUGUGGCAUCUCUCUUUGGUUCAUGGUUCAUGCCUCCUGGGUUGACUAUUUUUAAGUACCAGUCAUUUCCUUUUUCUUUCCCUCCUGCUUCUGACUUAGCACUUCACCUCUGCUCUCCCCAGGAAUGUUCCUGCUGGGAGCACUGACGGCAAAGGUGGUGAAUGCAGAGACUUGGAGCCUGAGGAGAUCCAAGGUCUUCUCAGGUUACAUUUCUAGAGAAAGGACACACUUUGUCUCCACAUGCAUUUGUGGCUCUGGUCACAGUGAGGUGGAAGAUGCAGAUGAAGCCUACACUCACAUUGGCAGCUGCAUCCCAAAUUAGCCAAAAGAAAGCAAGUGCCUGAAGCUUAGGGCAGGAUGUGGCUGCCCUGAGGCAAACCCUGAGUGUUUUCACAGCAAGCCCUGUCCUCAGGACAACCCUGACAGGUAACGUAAAGGCUGACCAUGCCAGGGAACUUGGAUUCAAGGGUCUAGACCAAAUACUAUCAUGUUUUAUCAUCUUCUUCUCUAAAAAUACGAGGAGUUGUGUUCAUUGAUCGUAAUUCUUCCUUCUCUAGACACAGGAAAAACACUCUGUUUCAGCCCCUUGAUUCCUGCAUUCCCAUUGCUGCUUCCCUUCUCCC